GAUGAACGCUGGCGGCGUGCCUAAUACAUGCCAGUCGAGCGAACGGACGAGAAGCUUGCUUCUCUGAUGUUAGCGGCGGACGGGUGAGUAACACGUGGAUAACCUACCUAUAAGACUGGGAUAACUUCGGGAAACCGGAGCUAAUACCGGAUGAUAUUUUGAACCGCAUAGUUCAAAAGUGAAAGACGGUCUUGCUGUCACUUAUAGAUGGAUCCGCGCUGCAUUAGCUAGUUGGUAAGGUAACGGCUUACCAAGGCAACGAUGCAUAGCCGACCUGAGAGGGUGAUCGGCCACACUGGAACUGAGACACGGUCCAGACUCCUACGGGAGGCAGCAGUAGGGAAUCUUCCGCAAUGGGCGAAAGCCUGACGGAGCAACGCCGCGUGAGUGAUGAAGGUCUUCGGAUCGUAAAACUCUGUUAUUAGGGAAGAACAUAUGUGUAAGUAACUGUGCACAUCUUGACGGUACCUAAUCAGAAAGCCACGGCUAACUACGUG
rnacentral:rRNA from 1 species